rnacentral:rRNA from 1 species
GACGAACGCUGGCGGCGUGCUUAACACAUGCAAGUCGAACGGAAAGGCCCUGCUUUCGUGGGGUGCUCGAGUGGCGAACGGGUGAGUAACACGUGAGUAACCUGCCCUUGACUUUGGGAUAACUUCAGGAAACUGGGGCUAAUACCGGAUAGGAGCUCCUGCUGCAUGGCGGGGGUUGGAAAGUUUCGGCGGUUGGGGAUGGACUCGCGGCUUAUCAGCUUGUUGGUGGGGUAGUGGCUUACCAAGGCUUUGACGGGUAGCCGGCCUGAGAGGGUGACCGGCCACAUUGGGACUGAGAUACGGCCCAGACUCCUACGGGAGGCAGCAGUGGGGAAUAUUGCACAAUGGGCGGAAGCCUGAUGCAGCAACGCCGCGUGCGGGAUGACGGCCUUCGGGUUGUAAACCGCUUUCGCCUGUGACGAAGCGUGAGUGACGGUAAUGGGUAAAGAAGCACCGGCUAACUACGUG